rnacentral:rRNA from 1 species
ACUGUUCAGUUACACGUGGAUAACCUGCCCUCAGGUCUGGCAUAACCCCGGGAAACUGGGGAUAAUUCCGGAUAACGCAUAUAUGCUGGAAUGCUUUAUGCGUGAAAGGUCCUCCGCCUGAGGAUGGGUCUGCGGCCUAUCAGGUAGUAGCGGGUGUAAUGUACCUGCUAGCCGACGACGGGUACGGGUUGUGAGAGCAAGAGCCCGGAGAUGGAUUCUGAGACAUGAAUCCAGGCCCUACGGGGCGCAGCAGGCGCGAAAACUUUACAAUGCGGGAAACCGUGAUAAGGGGACACCGAGUGCCAGCAACAUUUGCUGGCUGUCCAGGUGUGUAAACUACACCUGUUAGCAAGGGCCGGGCAAGACCGGUGCCAGCCGCCGCGGUAACACCGGCGGCCCGAGUGGUGAUCGUUAUUAUUGGGUCUAAAGGGUCCGUAGCCGGUUUAGUCAGUCCUCCGGGAAAUCUGUCAGCUCAACUGAUAGGCUAUCGGGGGAUACUGCUAGACUUGGAACCGGGAGAGGUAAGAGGUACUACAGGGGUAGGAGUGAAAUCUUAUAAUCCCUGUGGGACCACCUGUGGCAAAGGCGUCUUACCAGAACGGGUUCGACGGUGAGGGACGAAAGCUGGGGGCACGAACCGGAUUAGAUACCCGGGUAGUCCCAGCCGUAAACGAUGCUCGCUAGGUGUCAUGCAUGGUGCGACCGUGUAUGGUGCCGUAGGGAAGCCGUGAAGCGAGCCACCUGGGAAGUACGGCCGCAAGGCUGAAACUUAAAGGAAUUGGCGGGGGAGCAC